rnacentral:rRNA from 1 species
AGUGAACGCUGGCGGUAGGCCUAACACAUGCAAGUCGAACGGCAGCACAGUAAGAGCUUGCUCUUACGGGUGGCGAGUGGCGGACGGGUGAGGAAUACAUCGGAAUCUACAUUUUCGUGGGGGAAAACGUAGGGAAACUUACGCUAAUACCGCAUACGACCUACGGGUGCAAGCAGGGGAUCUUCGGACCUUGCGCGCUAGAAUGAGCCGAUGUCGGAUUAGCUAGUUGGCGGGGUAAAGGCCCACCAAGGCGACGAUCCGUAGCUGGUCUGAGAGGAUGAUCAGCCACACUGGAACUGAGACACGGUCCAGACUCCUACGGGAGGCAGCAGUGGGGAAUAUUGGACAAUGGGCGCAAGCCUGAUCCAGCCAUACCGCGUGGGUGAAGAAGGCCUUCGGGUUGUAAAGCCCUUUUGUUGGGAAGGAAAAGCAGCAGGUUAAUACCCCGCUGUUCUGACGGUACCCAAAGAGUAAGCACCGGCUAACUUCGUG